UGGAAAAGAAUUUCAACGUAUAAGAGAUACAAAUAUUCAGGCGGUUCCAAUAAUGAAUGAUCAGAAACGAGACAUACUGUACCAGGAGGUUCGCAAGAACCUAUCGGAUGCUUACCAAAAGCAAUCCAAGUACUAUAAUCUAAGGUCGAACAGGCAGGCUCCAUCAUAUAUCGUAGGCGAAAAGGUCCUUAAGAAGCAUACAGUUCUCUCGGAUAAAUCAAAGGAUUAUUGUGCAAAACUAGGUCCAAAAUACAGCGAAGCAGUUGUAAGACGAGUACUCGGAGACAGCUAUGAACUAAUGGACAAAGACGACAAUAUCUUAGGUAUUUUUCAUGCCAGCUUCCUCAAAAAGUAUUGAUCACAGAGCAAUAGACAUGAAACACGAGAACAAAUACACACGAGGGACAAUGAGCACCAUAAAUAAAAAGAUCCAAAUAGAGCUUGAAUACGAAAAAUCUAAUAAGAAAUGUGUUAGUAUAUGUACAUAGGUUGUAAAUAUAUUCCUAACUGGAUCGACUUUUCAGUCGGUACAAAAAAAAACUACUUAAAGCUAGAUUAGUAAUAAGUAAACAAACGUUCAUGCUGCUUUCUCACCAACUCUGAGCUCAAAAAUCAAUCCACUGCAAGUUCAUUUUAAGUUUCACUUUCCAUCCAUGUUCAUCGUAGAAUUCAUUCACAGCAACAUAGGUGUAGAUGUAGUAGUGCGAGUAUGGCGUCCUGAGCGUCGUCCACAACAUAAGUUCCACACAUGAGCAACAUCGACACUGAUUUCCAAACCGUUGUUGCAAUUGUCCGAAACCGUAAUCACAAGUCCAUAUCCGAGCAUACAAUCCAUCCAGCAUACUUUUAGGUUCCAUAGUUUCUCCGUUCGCGUAGUAGUUCCCCAUCCAGGUAGAUUAUCGUCAUGUCGCACCUUUACAUAGUCCACGAAAUUCUCCAACAUUCCAGACGGUAUUCCUAAAAAAACAGAAAGAAAUAAUGAAUACCUCCACUAAAUUUACAUAAUAUAGUGUACUCCCCCGGUUUUGCGCUAUAUUUUAGACAAUUUCCGUUGAAACUUCCAAGCUUUUCCGUAGUUUUGCAGCAGUUCUAGAAAUUCCACGCGAUUCACUUUACAGCGAUUGAAUACAUUUGACAGAUGAAUCUUUACGUCACUCGCUUUCCGGUUGCAGGGCUGUAGCUAUGCUGUCAGUUUGAAGGAUGACGUUUGUAAAGAGCUGGUCGCUAUUUCAUAGUCGAACAUUUGUUAUAGGUCAAAAAGCGAAUUGAUGAACAAAAUCGGUAAAGAAGAGCGACCAUAGUGCAUGGCACAUGUACGUUUUCGUUAUACGAGUAUGUUUUUUUUUUCGAAGCGUUUCUGACAUUGUUUUUAUGAGUUCAAAGAAUUUUGACGUAUGAACAAUAUAAUGUCGCUUCUCUAGUAUGCGUUAAAGAGAAAUUUCCGUUUAUUUUGAAGGUAUUAGGAAAAACGUCCUGAAAACAAAACGUAGUGCAUAGAAUAUGGAGUCCGUAAUAACCGGUUGCAUAAAUUGUUUUUAAAUUAGCGUUGGAAAGAAAAUGACAAUGCAUCUGAAGUUAUGAAAAUUUGAUCAAUUUCAUUGAUCAAAUUUUCAUAAAACCGAGUGAGGUGAUGUAACGAUAUCUGUUUCUUUUUUUAAUUUUAUUUGAAAAACAUUGAUCUCGAUAUGUUUGGCAAAAUUCUUAGCAAAACACAGUUUCCCGAAAAAAAAUAUAACGCUGGACGGAAUGGUGUUGUAAGCUUUCCCCUAUAUAAUGUUGCACGUUUCAAAUCAUAGAUGGCGCUUGAUUUAAAAUAAAGCCGUUUUAUGGAAAAUUAUCUAUGCGCGGAAGUUUCGUCAAGAUGGCCAAUUGGCAUACAAAAAGAAGGAUCGAGACUCUGAUCCCAGCAGGCUUGAAGAUUCUCGGCCAUUUCGUUUGCGGAGCGGUCGGUGAGCAGAACGCAUCGAAGUAGUGUUCCUCCAAAUUUUCUGAAGUGGUAGCUUAUCAGUUUCGAAUAAGUGAAUUUUAUUUGGUAUAAAGUUAAAAGGUUGUACGUUCUGCCUAGAUCGAAGUUUUUGAAGUUUGAAGUGAGCCUGUUCAACAGGCGGCGAGUCUGGGGCGGAAAGCCGUUUUUUGUAUUAGCUGGUGCGAAAGCGAGCGAGUAACGAGGUGCUGAGGUCGAGAGCCGGUACUGUGGUUUCCACGUGAGCGACGAAAAUCCGCAACGAACGGACGGGAGCUAAACCGAACGUCCGACCGACGCGCGGCGUGGCCGUCGUGUCCCGUAGCGUCCGUCACCAUACGCUACGUUUCCGGAAAUAUUUCUACCGAUCGCACGUGUCGCCAGUCUAUCGUUUUGGAACCAUCUCGCCGGUGCGCCGAUGCACUAAACCCAGCCCAGCAACAUUUCGCAGCCAGUUCAUCAUCCCACAGCAUCAUGAACCCUGCGCGCAGGUACGUGGUUAGGUUAGUGUUUGGCCAUUCACUAUAAGCGUACGCUCCGUUUGAGUGUGUCCCACAUGAACCCGGGUAGAAAGGAGAGAGAGGAUUUGAUAGAGGGAGAGAAUAGGAUAGGAAAAUGAGGAUUUCUCGAGAAUAAAAUUUGUAAAUCUUGUUUGAAGAUCUUUUACGUUUCUUUAUCACCUUACCUUUGCUCGCGAAGCGGUUUUUUGAGGUUUUCUUGCUUUCCUAAAGUUUCCGUAUUUCGAAACCAGCAUCUCCAAUCCUGCAAUUCCCCGGUCGUGAUAUUUAUAUAGAUACAAUCUAGAUAAUUCCCCAUCGAACCGUUUUUGCUUGAAUCGAGUUGGCAUCAUUUCCCGCUUAAGCAACCGUACGAAGCUUCCUAGACCAUAGAGUCCAUGCAAAAUUCCUAGUCGGGCAAUUCAACAGACAGGUGGUCUCUCCUUGGAGAGUGGCGCAUAAGCCACCUCGUUUGCCAAACCUAUCGAGUCGGGUCUACGCACGGUUACA